rnacentral:lncRNA from 1 species
CUCAUGGGGCAGUGUGGAAAGAAGAGGUUGGGGGAGGGGGGCCAGACAAUGGGAACUGGUGGGGAGGGUGGCCAGGAGGAGCUGCGUGCACCUCUACCGAGAGGGACGUUGUAACCCUGCUCCGCGGUGGAGGGAGCUGUGGCUCCAGCUAGAAGGGAGUAGCUAUUCAGCAGGAUUCAGCAGGGCCUCAUGGCCUGUGCCAGAGCGGGCUAGGGAUGCCGGCUUUUCUGAGGCACGCAGCCCUCUGGGAGAUGCUCCUCCUCUCCUUCUAGAGAGAAAAGGCAGGUCAUUCUAGGUUUCUUGAAUGACUUUAUGAAUCUCUGGACUUCAACCAGCUUUGGAAGCCAAGAUAACAUGAUAACAAGAGACCCUUGUCUCUUGCCACUUGAAGUCAGUGGCCUGAAAGGACCACUGAAUUUUGUUAACUCCCCUACAGAUCACCUACUUUGAAAAUCCAUGCUUUUUCCAUUCAUUCUCUUCUCCAGAGGAAAUUGCUGUUCUGAUUUUUAGUUUUGCCUACUCUUGAACUUUUUAAAAACGGAAUCAUCCAAUGUGUACUCUUUUAUGCCUGGCUUUUUUUUGCUCAACUUAAUGUCUGUGAGAUUCACACAUGUUAUUGUGAAUAUUAGUAGUAUACUUUGUAUUCAAUUAAAUAUUCAUUGAAUAAUUCAAAUUAAGCAUUCAAUUGUAGAAAUAUAUGCAGGUUUAUUUAUUCAUUCAUCUGUUGUUGGACAGUUGGGUCAUUUUCAAUAGUUUGACUAUUAUGAAGUGGCUGUAAACAUUAUUAUAUAAGUCUUUUUGCACAUCAUAGGAAAAGAUUGCCAUAAAAUUAUUGUCACUCUUCCUAUUGAGAUGUGGCACCUAUGUUUCAUACCCGUGAAUCUGAACUGGCCCUGUGGCUGGUUUUGAUCAAUAUAAUUUGGCAGAACUGAUGCUGUGUAACUUGUGCAAGGAUAUCUACAGCUUCCACCUUGGUCUUUUGGAAUGAUUCUUCUUGGAACCCAACCCCUGUGCUUUGAGAAGCCUGAGCUAUGUGUAGAGGCCGUAUGGAAGAGAACCAAGGCACUCCAGCUGAUGGGCCUCACUGGGCUCCCAGCUGAGAGCCAGCACCAACCUGCAACCGUGUAAGCAAUCGUCUUGUACUUUCCAACCUAGUCAAAUUUCAGAUGUCUGCAACUCCAGCCACAUGGAGCAAAAGAUUCACAGAGAUGAGUCCAGUCCCCUAUCAACCCAGAUAAUCCUGAGACAAUAAAUAGCUAUUGUUUUAACCCACUAAGUUUUGAGAUAAUUUUUUACACAGAAACAAUCAAAUUAUUUAUUUUCACUUCUUCAGGAUAAGUAUUAGGAAUAGAACUGCUGGACCAUAUAAUACGUGUGUAUUAAUCUUUAUAGAAAAUUACCAAAUUAUUACCAGAGGUAGUUUUACCUUUUCAUACUCCUACUAGCAAAGUAAGAGUGCCCUGGUUUCUCCAUAUCCUCGUCAUAACUGUUUUUAA